rnacentral:rRNA from 1 species
UACCUGCCCAGUGCGAAAUAUUAAUGUAAACGGCCGCCCUAGCGUGAGGGUGCUAAGGUAGCGAAAUUCCUUGCCUUUUGAUUGUAGGCCUGCAUGAAUGGUUUAACGAGGGUUUAGCUGUCUCUAAAUUUUUAAUUGAAAUUGUAUUGAAGGUGAAGAUACCUUCAUUUAAAAGUUAGACAAAAAGACCCCGUGCAACUUUGAAAAUUAACUUUAUUCAGGGGUAAAAGAUUUUUAGGUGGGGCGCCUAGAAAGUAAGCCUAACCUUUCUGAGUAGGAGUUUCUUUCAGGAGUUGACCCGAUUAUAUUCGAUCAUAGGAGAAGUUACGCCGGGGAUAACAGGCUAAUCCUUUAGUAGAGCUCGUAUUGGCUAAAGGGAUUGGCACCUCGAUGUUGAAUCARGGAUGAUAGCUUCAAGGCGUAGAGGCUUUGAKAGUAGGUCUGUUCGACCUUUAAUACCCU